rnacentral:rRNA from 1 species
GACGAACGCUGGCGGCGCGCUUAACACAUGCAAGUCGAGCGAAGCGGCGGACGGGUUAGUAACACGUGAGUAAACUGCCUUAGACAUUGGGAUUGCCUCGGGAUACCGGGGUUAAUACCAAAUGGUCUAAGAUGGACUCGCGUCCCAUUAGCUAGUUGGUGAGGUAACGGCCCACCAAGGCGACGAUAGGCAGCCGGCCGGUGAGGGUGAACGGAUACAUUGGAACUGAGAAACGGUCCAAACUCUACGGGAGGCAGCAUUGGGGAAUAUUGCACAAUGGAGGGAAGUAUGAUGCAGCGAGGCCGCGUGAACGAAGAAGGCUUUCGAGUCGUAAAGUUAUUUUAUAUGGGAAGCGGUACCAUAAGAAAAAGCCCCGGCUAACUACGUGCCAGCAGCCGCGGUAAUUC